rnacentral:tRNA from 1 species
UGGGAUGUAGCUCAGUGGUAGAGCAUGUGCUUAGCAUAUAAAGGCUUUGAGUUUGAUUCCCAGCAACACAC